rnacentral:rRNA from 1 species
CCUACGUGGAGCAGCAGUGGGGGAUAUUGCACAAUGGGGGAAACCCUGAUGCAGCGACGCCGCGUGGGCGAAGAAGUAUUUCGGUAUGUAAAGCCCUAUCAGCAGGGAAGAAGAAAUGACGGUACCUGAGUAAGAAGCACCGGCUAAAUACGUGCCAGCAGCCGCGGUAAUACGUAGGGAGCGAGCGUUGUCCGGAAUUACUGGGUGAAAAGGGAGCGUAGGCGGGGAUGCAAGGUGGUUGUCAAAACUACCGGCUCAACUUGUAGUCGCACUCAAAACUGCAGCUCUUGAGUGAAGUAGAGGCAGGCGGAAUUCCUAGUGUAGCGGUGAAAUGCGUAGAUAUUAGGAGGAACACCAGUGGCGAAGGCGGCCUGCUGGGCUUUUACUGACGCUGAGGCUCGAAAGUGUGGGGAGCAAACAGGAUUAGAUACCCGGGUAGUC